rnacentral:rRNA from 1 species
GAUGAACGCUGGCGGCGUGCCUAAUACAUGCAAGUCGAGCGAACAGACGAGGAGCUUGCUCCUCUGACGUUAGCGGCGGACGGGUGAGUAACACGUGGAUAACCUACCUAUAAGACUGGGAUAACUUCGGGAAACCGGAGCUAAUACCGGAUAAUAUAUUGAACCGCAUGGUUCAAUAGUGAAAGACGGUUUUGCUGUCACUUAUAGAUGGAUCCGCGCCGCAUUAGCUAGUUGGUAAGGUAACGGCUUACCAAGGCAACGAUGCGUAGCCGACCUGAGAGGGUGAUCGGCAACACUGGAACUGAGACACGGGCCAGACUCCUACGGGAGGCAGCAGUAGGGAAUCUUCCGCAAUGGGCGAAAGCCUGACGGAGCAACGCCGCGUGAGUGAUGAAGGUCUUCGGAUCGUAAAACUCUGUUAUUAGGGAAGAACAAAUGUGUAAGUAACUAUGCACGUCUUGACGGUACCUAAUCAGAAAGCCACGGCUAACUACGUG